rnacentral:pre_miRNA from 1 species
GGAAACUUGCAAACUAUCGUUGGAUCGAGAAAUGGACGUCCGAGAUUCAUCCACGUUAACUCAUAGGUGAAUCUGUAAGUUAAAUUUUAACUCUUGGUGACAUGGACGAAUCUCGAAUGUCCAUUUCUCGAUCCAACGGUAGUUUUUUAAGUUUCC